rnacentral:rRNA from 1 species
AUUGAACGCUGGCGGCAUGCUUUACACAUGCAAGUCGAACGGUAACAGGCCGCAAGGUUCUGACGAGUGGCGAACGGGUGAGUAAUGCAUCGGAACGUGCCCAGUCGUGGGGGAUAACUACUCGUAAGAGUAGCUAAUACCGCAUACGAUCUAUGGAUGAAAGCGGGGGACCGUAAGGGCUCGCGCGAUUGGAGCGGCCGAUGUCAGAUUAGGUAGUUGGUGGGGUAAAGGCUCACCAAGCCAACGAUCUGUAGCUGGUCUGAGAGGACGACCAGCCACACUGGAACUGAGACACGGCCAAGACUCCUACGGGAGGCAGCAGUGGGGAAUUUUGGACAAUGGGCGCAAGCCUGAUCCAGCAAUGCCGCGUGCAGGAAGAAGGCCUUCGGGUUGUAAACUGCUUUUGUACGGAACGAAACGGCUCUGGUUAAUACCCGGGGCUAAUGACGGUACCGGAAGAAUAAGCACCGGCUAACUACGUG